rnacentral:lncRNA from 1 species
GGGGGCAGUAGCAUCGAGUCGCAAGUGCAGCAUGUUUCGUGACAGAAUAAAUGCGUGUAGUCUUCUUGACAUAGGUUCCAUGGGCGUUAAAUUCACUUGGAGGGGACCGAUGUAUCAUGGUGGCCAAAGAAUUUAUGAACGGCUCGAUCGAGCUCUGUGUAAUAGUAAGUGGAGGUUGAUGUUUCCUGAUGGUUUUGUGAAGGUACUUACUAGAGUAGAUUUCUCGGAUCAUCAUCCUAUUCUUAUCUCCCCGAAAGAAGCUCCUCACUUAGUGGCACCCAAACAAUUUCGGUUUGAAAGUGCUUGGUUAUUAGAAACAACGUACACUGAUAUGAUGAAAGCAAGUUGGGAUAGUGGUGGGAC